CUGUUUGUCUGGAUAAUUCUACACAAACUGCCAACAGCGGACUUGAACAGAUCGAUAUCGCAGUUGUUUGGAGCCAGAACAUAGAAUGAUACUUGGUUUUGCCUGCCCUCAUCAAAAUAUUUUGUGAGGAAAAAAGGAUUUUACAUUUAAAAAGACUAUCCUGCAUAUUUGCUGCUGUACAUAUUGCACUUCAUCUCAUCUGCUGCUGGAAUAAAUAUGAAAGAUGUUCAAACCACUGUACAAGAGCCCCCUAGAGUCUGAAAUCAUGAUGUUUUUCAUUAAGGAGAUCGGUGUGUGAAGUAUUUGUUUUCUGUGCAUU